rfam:Capsicum annuum cultivar Zunla-1 chromosome 7, whole genome shotgun sequence
GGAUGAGAUCAUACAAGCUCUAACGCACCGGAUCCCAUCAGAACUCCGAAGUUAAGCGUGCUUGGGCGAGAGUAGUAUUAGGAUGGGUGACCCCCUGGGAAGUCUUCGUGUUGCAUCCC